rnacentral:rRNA from 1 species
GUGGGGAAUUUUGGACAAUGGGCGCAAGCCUGAUCCAGCAAUGCCGCGUGCAGGAAGAAGGCCUUCGGGUUGUAAACUGCUUUUGUACGGAACGAAACGGUCCUGGCUAAUAUCCGGGGCUAAUGACGGUACCGUAAGAAUAAGCACCGGCUAACUACGUGCCAGCAGCCGCGGUAAUACGUAGGGUGCGAGCGUUAAUCGGAAUUACUGGGCGUAAAGCGUGCGCAGGCGGUGCUGUAAGACAGGCGUGAAAUCCCCGGGCUCAACCUGGGAAUUGCGCUUGGGACUGCAGUGCUGGAGUGCGGCAGAGGGGGAUGGAAUUCCGCGUGUAGCAGUGAAAUGCGUAGAUAUGCGGAGGAACACCGAUGGCGAAGGCAAUCCCCUGGGCCUGCACUGACGCUCAUGCACGAAAGCGUGGGGAGCAAACAGGAUUAGAUACCCUGGUAGUCC